AGCGAACGUUAGCGGCGGGCCUAACACAUGCAAGUCGAACGCGAAAGGUCUUCGGACUGAGUAGAGUGGCGCACGGGUGAGUAACACGUAGGUAAUCUACCCUUUGGCGGGGAUAACGUUCCGAAAGGAGCGCUAAUACCGCAUAAGACCACGGAGUCUCCGGACGCUGUGGGAAAAGGUGGCCUCUUCUUGAAAGCUACCACCGAAGGAUGAGCCUGCGUCCCAUCAGCUAGUUGGUAAGGUAAUGGCUUACCAAGGCGAAGACGGGUAGCUGGUUUGAGAGAAUGAUCAGCCACACUGGCACUGGAACACGGGCCAGACUCCUACGGGAGGCAGCAGUGAGGAAUAUUGGGCAAUGGGCGAAAGCCUGACCCAGCCACGCCGCGUGAGUGAUGAAGGCCCUCGGGUCGUAAAGCUCUGUGGAGAGGGACGAAAACCCUGGUUUCAAAUAGGCUCCAGGCUUGACGGUACCUCUUUAGCAAGCACCGGCUAACUCUGUGCCAGCAGCCG
rnacentral:rRNA from 1 species